rnacentral:rRNA from 1 species
AGCCGCGGUAAUUCCAGCUCCAAUAGCGUAUAUUAAAGUUGUUGCAGUUAAAAAGCUCGUAGUUGAAUUUCGAGAUCAAUUUGUUGGUCGUGCCUCGGUACGUACUGGCAAUUUUGAUUUCUCCCUUCUGAAGAACCAUGAUGUCAUUAAUUUGGUGUCAUGGGGAAUCAGGACCGUUACUUUGAAAAAAUUAGAGUGUUUAAAGCAGGCUCGCGCUUGAAUACAUUAGCAUGGAAUAAUGAAAUAGGACGUUUGAUUCUAUUUUGUUGGUUUCUAGGAUCGACGUAAUGAUUAAUAGGGAUAGUUGGGGGCAUUAGUAUUCAAUUGUCAGAGGUGAAAUUCUUGGAUUUAUUGAAGACUAACUACUGCGAAAGCAUUUGCCAAGGAUGUUUUCAUUAAUCAAGAACGAAAGUUAGGGGAUCGAAGACGAUCAGAUACCGUCGUAGUCUUAACCAUAAACUAUGCCGACUAGGGAUCGGAUGAUGUUAAUUUUUUAAUGACUCAUUCGGCGCCUUACG